ACGUGGUACAAAUUGUGCUUAGGAACAGUGUGACAUAUUUUGCCUCGUAUUUUGGGGUUUCGAGGCCGAAACUUGUUACUCUUUGUUACUUGUUGUUCGGGAACAGUUUGUGUUUUGAUUCAGGAGGAAAAAGGAACGGGUAGGUGGCUGUCAACUGGUAAACAUGCGAGUUUACCUCGGCGGUUGCAAAUGCAGUAUCCUAAAGAUUCCAUAGCACGUCGGGACGACCCUGUUACGUAUUUGCAUUGUUUAUCGGUAUUUGAAGCCUGAAACGCAGUGUAUUAUUGUUCCCCUUGAUUCGGUAAUGUUCACGUUAUUGUAUCUCACAUAUAAAUACUUGCAAAAUGCGGGAAUUAAUGCCAGUUCAGUGUUAACCUACCGGAUCAAGACGAUCCAGAAUCAAGAUGGAGAUUUAAGGGCUUUCAACCUGUCUUGGCCGCGUGAGGUUCAAAACCAGAAGAGGAACUGAGACACUGGAGAUACCCCGAUCUUCUUAUGCACAGUUGAUCAGGAAUUGAUGAGAGAAGUGUCGGACUUGGACCCCAGGUGUGUGUUGGUUUCAAAUUGAGUCUUGUUUAUCUUCCCUUUUUGAUUCUAUGGAAGUAAGGUAAGACCUUGAAAUUGUUAAAAAGGAG